UAGCGUAGGGGGCAAGCAUUGUCCGGAAUCGAUUGGGCGUAAAGCGCGUGUAGGCGGCUCGAUAAUCUGCUGUGAAAGUCCAGGCUCAACCCUGGGAUGCCGGUGGAUACUGUCGAGCUCGAGUCCGGAAGAGGCGAGUGGAAUUCCUGGUGUAGCGGUGAAUGCGCAGAUAUCAGGAGGAACACCAAUGGCGAAGGCAGAUCUCUGGCCGUAACUGACGCUGAGGAGCGAAGUGUGGAGCGAACAG
rnacentral:rRNA from 1 species